rnacentral:rRNA from 1 species
CCCUUAGAUGUUCUGGGCCGCACGCGCGCUACACUGACCAGUGCAACAAGCAUCCGUCCUUGGCCGACAGGCCCGGGCAAUCUUUGAACGCUGGUCGUGAUGGGGAUAGACUUUUGCAAUUUUUGGUCUUCAACGAGGAAUUCCUAGUAAACGCAAGUCACCAACUUGCAUUGAUUACGUCCCUGCCCUUUGUACACACCGCCCGUCGCACCUACCGAUUGAAUGGUCCGGUGAAGCCUCCGGAUUGGCGCGCACCUCGGUGCCGCCGAGAAGUUGGCUAAACCUUACCAUUUAGAGGAAGGUGAAGUCGUAACA